rnacentral:lncRNA from 1 species
GUUCUUAUAGCCACCAGAGGGGAACUGCCCUAUAAACAGAGAACUCCCAAAAGGCUGGCUCCAGCCAAGGCCACGGGUGAGACAAGCCUGUGUUAUGCGCUUAUAUAAUGCACAGGCUUCACCCAGAGAUGGAACCAGCUCGAACUACCAACUGAUAAUGUCUCAAGCAGACAACAGGUGACCAAAUUAAGGAAAGAAACCAGGAUCCUGGCAGCCCAGGAAGCAGAGCCGGUCAUGACAACAUGCAGCUGAUGAUGUGGGGGUGAAAGGCUGAGUAAGCGGUUGCAAUCUGCAGUGAGCCAAGCUGAAAGGCCCGGGCGGAUGUGAAGGCUGGUGGUAAGGAAAUGGGAAGCAGGCAGCCAAGCUAACCCUGUGUCCACUGAAGGAGUGAGGUGGCCUUGAGCACAGCAGCAUCCCUGGGUCUUACGUCGGCCAGAAGUAGAAAGGGAAGAAGCCUAAAGGAAGUGAAAGUGUUGCUGGAUCUCCUGCUGGCAUUGCCUCCUCCUUCACACAGCAUCCCGGUUCUCCCUGCAGCCACCUGAUCUUCCCUUUGUCCCCUUCCUCACCACAGCCCCACCACCUUCACCACUCCAAGUUGAUGCUUCUCCUACAUCUGGCCAAGAUGCUACUCAGAGGUGGAUGAAAGCAAAAGUCACUGCUCUAAUACAAGAAAAGUCCCGGUUUUAGGUUUCAGAAACAGAAUUUUCCCGAAUGUUUAAAAUGGUGAAUGGUUCCAUAAACUGUGUUAACCAGGCUUCUUACAGGCUAGUCCCAGAAUCUGACCACCAUGUGCAAUACUGUUUCUAAGAAAAGUGUGCUCCAAGCAAGAACCUUCAAACAUUUAACCUGAAUGAAUGAAUAUAACCUCUUCACGGUUCAGUGUUUUCAUAAGCAAAACAAGAGAAUAGCAGCAUUGAUGUCUUUUAAAAAAAAUUUAGGGCUGGGCGCGGUGGCUCACGCCUGUAAUCCCAGCACUUUGGGAGG